rnacentral:rRNA from 2 species
UACAGAGGUCUCAAGCGUUGUUCGGAUUUAUUGGGCGUAAAGGGUGCGUAGGCGGCGAGGUAAGUCUGGUGUGAAAUCCUGGGGCUCAACCCCAGAAUUGCACUGGAUACUGCUUUGCUAGAGGACUGGAGAGGAGAUUGGAAUUCACGGUGUAGCAGUGAAAUGCGUAGAUAUCGUGAGGAAGACCAGUGGCGAAGGCGAAUCUCUGGACAGUUCCUGACGCUGAGGCACGAAGGCUAGGGGAGCAAACGGG